UGGGGAAUCUUGCACAAUGGGGGCAACCCUGAUGCAGCGACGCCGCGUGAGCGAUGAAGCCCUUCGGGGCGUAAAGCUCUUUCGCCCGGAACGAUAAUGACGGUACCGGGAGAAGAAGCUGCGGCUAACUACGUGCCAGCAGCCGCGGUAAUACGUAGGCAGCAAGCGUUGUUCGGAGUUACUGGGCGUAAAGAGUGCGUAGGCGGUUUUCUAAGUUCGGUGUGAAAUCUCCCGGCCUAACUGGGAGGGUGCGCCGAAGACUGGGAAGCUGGAGUGUGGGAAAGGCAGGCGGAACUCCUGGUGUAGCGGUGAAAUGCGUAGAUAUCAGGAGGAACACCGGCGGUGUAGACGGCUUGCUAGACCAUAACUGACACUGAGGCACGAAAGCGUGGGGAGCAAACA
rnacentral:rRNA from 1 species